rnacentral:sRNA from 1 species
GAGAAGAACGUAUCAGCAACUCGACGAAAAAAUGGUAAA